ensembl:lncRNA
AUUCUGAUAUGUACUGCAGUAACAUUCUGAUAUGUACUGCAGUAACAUUCUGAUAUGUACUGCAGUAACAUUCUGAUAUGUACUGCAGUAACAGCAUGUUAUAAUCCUAUCAGACACAGAAGGAACAUUCUGAUAUGUACUGCAGUAACAUUCUGAUAUGUACUGCAGUAACAUUCUGAUAUGUACUGCAGUAACAUUCUGAUAUGUACUGUCAGUAACAUUCUGAUAUGUACUGCAGUAACAUUCUGAUAUGUACUGCAGUAACAUUCUGAUAUGUACUGUCAGUAAUAUUCUGAUAUGUACUGCAGUAACAUUCUGAUAUGUACUGUCAGUAACAUUCUGAUAUGUACUGUCAUAACAUUCUGAUAUGUACUGUCAGUAAUAUUCUGAUAUGUACUGCAGUAACAUUCUGAUAUGUACUGUCAGUAACAUUCUGAUAUGUACUGUCAUAACAUUCUGAUAUGUACUGCAGUAACAUUCUGAUAUGUACUGUCAGUAACAUUCUGAUAUGUACUGUCAGUAACAUUCUGACAGUAACAUUCUGAUAUGUACUGCAGUAACAUUCUGAUAUGUACUGCAGUAACAUUCUGAUAUGUACUGCAGUAACAUUCUG